rnacentral:rRNA from 1 species
AUCGCUGGCGGCGCGCUCUACACAUGCAGCGAACGAGAAGCCCGCAAGGGUGAGUAAGUGGCGCACGGGUGAGUACACGUGGGUAAUCUGCCUCUGGGUGGGGAAUAACUCUGGGAAACCGGAGCUAAUACCGCAUAAUCCUGAGAAGGCAAAGGAGAAAUCCGCCGAGAGAGGAGCCCGCGGCCGAUUAGCUGGUUGGUGAGGUAAAGGCUCACCAAGGCGAAGAUCGGUAGCCGGCCUGAGAGGGCACACGGCCACACUGGCACUGAAACACGGGCCAGACUCCUACGGGAGGCAGCAGUGGGGAAUCUUGCACAAUGGGGGAAACCCUGAUGCAGCGACGCCGCGUGAGCGAUGAAGCCCUUCGGGGUGUAAAGCUCUUUCGGCAGGAACGAUGAUGACGGUACCUGAAGAAGAAGCUGCGGCUAACUACGUGCCAGC